rnacentral:tRNA from 2 species
GGCGGGUAUAACUCAAUUGGUUAGAGUGUUAGGUUGUGGUUCUAGAAGUUACAGGUUCAAGUCCUGUUACUCGCC